GGAUUGAUAGCUCAGUGGCAGAGCAUGGGACUGCAAAUCCUGGGGUCGCGAGUUCAACUCUCGCUCGGUCCU